rnacentral:rRNA from 1 species
GAUGAACGCUGGCGGCGUGCUUAACACAUGCAAGUCGAACGAUGAAGCUGGAGCUUGCUCUGGUGGAUUAGUGGCGAACGGGUGAGUAACACGUGAGCAACCUGCCCCUGACUCUGGGAUAACAGCCGGAAACGGCUGCUAAUACCGGAUAUGCACCAUGAACGCAUGUUCUGUGGUGGGAAAGAUUUUUCGGUUGGGGAUGGGCUCGCGGCCUAUCAGCUUGUUGGUGAGGUAAUGGCUCACCAAGGCGUCGACGGGUAGCCGGCCUGAGAGGGUGACCGGCCUCACUGGGACUGAGACACGGCCCAGACUCCUACGGGAGGCAGCAGUGGGGAAUAUUGCACAAUGGGCGAAAGCCUGAUGCAGCAACGCCGCGUGAGGGAUGACGGCCUUCGGGUUGUAAACCUCUUUUAGCAGGGAAGAAGCGAGAGUGACGGUACCUGCAGAAAAAGCGCCGGCUAACUACGUG